CAGCAGUGAGGAAUAUUGCCCAAUGGACGCAAGUCUGAGGCAGCAACGCCGCGUGCGCGAUGAAGGCCUUCGGGUUGUAAAGCGCUUUUCUGGGGGAAGAGGAAGGACGGUACCUCAGGAAUAAGCACCGGCUAACUCCGUU
rnacentral:rRNA from 1 species